rnacentral:rRNA from 1 species
GGGUGAGUAAUAUAUCGGAAUGUACCAUUCAGUGGGGGAUAACGUAGCGAAAGUUACGCUAAUACCGCAUAUUCUGUGAGCAGGAAAGCAGGGGAUCGCAAGACCUUGCGCUGAUUGAGCGGCCGAUAUCAGAUUAGCUUGUUGGUGAGGUAAAAGCUCACCAAGGCGACGAUCUGUAGCGGGUCUGAGAGGAUGAUCCGCCACACUGGAACUGAGACACGGUCCAGACUCCUACGGGAGGCAGCAGUGGGGAAUUUUGGACAAUGGGGGCAACCCUGAUCCAGCCAUGCCGCGUGAGUGAAGAAGGCCUUCGGGUUGUAAAGCUCUUUCAGCCGGGAAGAAAACGCAUGGGUUAAUACCCUGUGUGGAUGACGGUACCGGAAUAAGAAGCACCGGCUAACUACGUGCCAGCAGCCGCGGUAAUACGUAGGGUGCGAGCGUUAAUCGGAAUUACUGGGCGUAAAGCGUGCGCAGGCGGUUUUGUAAGACAGGCGUGAAAUCCCCGGGCUUAACCUGGGAACUGCGUUUGUGACUGCAAGGCUAGAGUACGGCAGAGGGGGGUGGAAUUCCACGUGUAGCAGUGAAAUGCGUAGAGAUGUGGAGGAACACCAAUGGCGAAGGCAGCCCCCUGGGUCGAUACUGACGCUCAUGCACGAAAGCGUGGGUAGCAAACAGGAUUAGAUACCCUGGUAGUCCACGCCCUAAACGGUGUCAACUAGGUGUUGGGAGGGUAAAACCUUUUAGUACCGGAGCUAACGCGUGAAGUUGACCGCCUGGGGAGUACGGCCGCAAGGUUAAAACUCAAAGGAAUUGACGGGGACCCGCACAAGCGGUGGAUGAUGUGGAUUAAUUCGAUGCAACGGGAAAAACCUUACCUACCCUUGACAUGCCAAGAACUUUCCAGAGAUGGAUUGGUGCCCGAAAGGGAACUUGGACACAGGUGCUGCAUGGCUGUCGUCAGCUCGUGUCGUGAGAUGUUGGGUUAAGUCCCGCAACGAGCGCAACCCUUGUCGUUAAUUGCCAUCAUUUAGUUGGGCACUUUAACGAGACUGCCGGUGACAAACCGGAGGAAGGUGGGGAUGACGUCAAGUCCUCAUGGCCCUUAUGGGUAGGGCUUCACACGUCAUACAAUGGUCUGUACAAAGGGUCGCCAAGCCGCGAGGUGGAGCCAAUCCCAGAAAGCCGAUCGUAGUCCGGAUCGCAGUCUGCAACUCGACUGCGUGAAGUCGGAAUCGCUAGUAAUCGUGG